ACAGAGGUCCCAAGCGUUGUUCGGAUUCACUGGGCGUAAAGGGUGCGUAGGCGGUUUGAUAAGUCUGAUGUGAAAUCCCGCAGCUUAACUGCGGAACUGCAUUGGAAACUAUUUGACUAGAGGAAUGGAGGGGAGACUGGAAUACUUGGUGUAGCAGUGAAAUGCGUAGAUAUCAAGUGGAACACCAGUGGCGAAGGCGAGUCUCUGGACAUUUCCUGACGCUGAGGCACGAAAGCCAGGGGAGCAAACGGGAUUAGAUACCCCGGUAGUCCUGGCCCUAAACGGUGCACGUUUGCUGUAAGCGGAAUCGACCCCGCUUGUGGCGUAGUUAACACGAUAAACGUGCCGCCUGGGAAGUACGGCCGCAAGGUUA
rnacentral:rRNA from 1 species